rnacentral:rRNA from 1 species
AUUGAACGCUGGCGGCAGGCUUAACACAUGCAAGUCGAGCGGGGUGAUGGUGCUUGCACUAUCACUUAGCGGCGGACGGGUGAGUAAUGCUUAGGAAUCUGCCUAUUAGUGGGGGACAACAUCUCGAAAGGGAUGCUAAUACCGCAUACGUCCUACGGGAGAAAGCAGGGGAUCACUUGUGACCUUGCGCUAAUAGAUGAGCCUAAGUCGGAUUAGCUAGUUGGUGGGGUAAAGGCCUACCAAGGCGACGAUCUGUAGCGGGUCUGAGAGGAGGAUCCGCCACACUGGGACUGAGACACGGCCCAGACUCCUACGGGAGGCAGCAGUGGGGAAUAUUGGACAAUGGGGGGAACCCUGAUCCAGCCAUGCCGCGUGUGUGAAGAAGGCCUUAUGGUUGUAAAGCACUUUAAGCGAGGAGGAGGCUCUUUUGGUUAACACCCAAGAUGAGUGGACGUUACUCGCAGAAUAAGCACCGGCUAACUCUGUGCCAGCCGCCGCGGUAA